UACAGAGGGUGCAAGCGUUAAUCGGAUUUACUGGGCGUAAAGCGUGCGUAGGCGGUUCGCUAAGUCGGUUGUGAAAUCCCUGGGCUUAACCUGGGAACUGCAGUCGAUACUGGCGGACUAGAAUGCGGUAGAGGGUGGCGGAACUCCGGGUGUAGCGGUGAAAUGCGUAGAUAUCGGCAGGAACACCCAGGGGGAAACCAGUCGACUGGGCAGCACCUGACGCUGAGGUGCGAGAGCGUGGGGAGCGAACCGG
rnacentral:rRNA from 1 species